AAAAAGCUUUUGUUGAAACAAAUUGAAGAUACCAAUUAUCUGUAGGGAAGAGGACGAUUUUGCCUCAAAAGAAGAACUGGUGCAUAUUUAACAGAAGCA